rnacentral:rRNA from 1 species
GGGAUUAUUCAGUCGGGAGGUCUGCGGACGCACGUUGCGGAAUGACCAGAAUGGUUCCCUGGACUGGGGCCGUCCGCGGCGUGCGCUUUCGUGCCACCCGACGCAUUUGUUUCCCGUCCAAAGGACGCCGCAACCGGUUGGAGAACGGCCUUAAGGGCGGACGAUGGCAGGUGGCCGGUGACGUUCCCCCCGGGGUCCGUCUGCCGGUUGUUAGCCGGUUUCCGUCGCACGGCCCGUGAUCCGACCGUGGUGUCGCGAGGCCCCUAGUGGGACUCUUCGCCUCCUCCCCUUGCGGGAUGCCCGGAAUUGGCGGCACGGGUUUCCUCCCCACCUGCGGGCGCACGGACUGACUCCGUGGCCCAGCUAUGCGGGAGUCCCGGUUGGUAGCCUUUUUGCCGGUGGGAGUGUUGGCGGUUAGCGGCGAGUAGAUCGGUCACCCACCUGACCCGUCUUGAAACACGGACCAAGGAGUCUAACAUGUGUGCGAGUCAAUGGGUCUUGAAUAAGCCCAGGGGCGCAAUGAAAGCAAAGGCCGGAUAGAAUCCGGCUGUGUUGGGAUCCUCCCUCCUACUGUCGGGGGAGGCGCACCAACGACCCGUCCCGUCCGAUUCAUCGGUGGGGCGGAGUCUGAGCAUACACGUUGGGACCCGAAAGAUGGUGAACUAUGCCCGGGCAGGACGAAGCCAGAGG